AUUGAACGCUUGCGGCAGGCCUAACACAUGCAAGUCGAACGAGUGGCGGACGGGUGAGUAAUGUCUGGGAAACUGCCUGAUGGAGGGGGAUAACUCCUUGAAACGGUAGCUAAUACCGCAUACCAUCAGAUGUACCCAUAUGGGAUUGGCGAGUUGGUGGGGUAACGGCUCCCCAAGGCGACGAUCCCUAGCUGGUCUGAGAGGAUGACCAGCCACACUGGGACUGAGACACGGUCCAGACUCCUACGGGAGGCAGCAGUGGGGAAUAUUGCACAAUGGGCGCAAGCCUGAUGCAGCCAUGCCGCGUGUAUGAAGAAGGCCUUCGGGUUGUAAAGUACUUUCAGCGGGGAGGCGUUACCCGCAGAAGAAGCACCGGCUAACUCCGUGCCAGCAGCCGCGGUAAUUC
rnacentral:rRNA from 1 species